UGGCGGACGGGUGAGUAACGCGUGGGUAACCUGCCCUGUACAGGGGGAGUAACAGUCAGAAAUGACUGCUAAUACCGCAUAAGACCACAGCACCGCAUGGUGCAGGGGUAAAAACUCCGGUGGUACAGGAUGGACCCGCGUCUGAUUAGCUGGUUGGUGAGGUAACGGCUCACCAAGGCGACGAUCAGUAGCCGGCUUGAGAGAGUGAACGGCCACAUUGGGACUGAGACACGGCCCAAACUCCUACGGGAGGCAGCAUG
rnacentral:rRNA from 1 species